rnacentral:rRNA from 1 species
GUGUCAGCAGCCGCGGUAAUACGUAGGUGACAAGCGUUAUCCGGAAUUACUGGGCGUAAAGCGCACGCAGGCGGCGCGGUAAGUCUGAUGUGAAAUCUCCCGGCUUAACUGGGAGGGGUCAUUGGAAACUGCCGAGCUUGAGGCGAUGAGAGGGGUGUAGAAUUCCCGGUGUAGUGGUGGAAUGCGUAGAUAUCGGGAGGAAUACCAGUGGCGAAAGCGGCACCCUGGCAUUAGCCUGACGCUCAUGUGCGAAGGCGUGGGGAGCGAACGGGAUUAGAUACCCCGGUAGUCC